UAUUUUUCCCCAGUUAAAAAAAAAAAAAUUUCUACAUAUAUAUAUAUAUAAAAGAAAUUAUAAGGAAAAACUUUAAAAGAAUUUUUUACUUUGAGAUCCGUGAUUCGGAUAAUGUUAUUUGAGUUUAGAUAGAAUUUAUUAUCAAUUUAUUUUUAAUGUUGGAAUUUUUGAAUCAACGUUCGGUAUCAUUGAAUGUGAUAUGAACCACUAAAACAUCUAACAAUCAAAUUUCAUAUUUUUUUCGAUAUUGUUCUCUUAAAAAUCAACUGAACACAAAGUGAACGGCUAAAAAUAAAGAUCCUUCAAAAAAUAAUGAUAUAAUUCUUAUAAUCGAAAUCAAGAGUAUAAAUUUUAUUUUAAGUAGUUUAAAAAAUUUUGCAAUCAAAAUCUAAUUGAUUUUAAUUUUUUUUAUACUGUUGAACGAACAAACACUUUAUACCUACCAUUAAAAUUACAAAAUUAUACAAAAUAAUAAUAAAAUGAUGC
rnacentral:lncRNA from 1 species